CAGCAGCCGCGGGAAAACGUAGGUGGCAAGCGUUGUCCGGAAUUAUUGGGCGUAAAGCGCGCGCAGGCGGAUCAGUUAGUCUGUCUUAAAAGUUCGGGGCUUAACCCCGUGAUGGGAUGGAAACUGCUGAUCUAGAGUAUCGGAGAGGAAAGUGGAAUUCCUAGUGUAGCGGUGAAAUGCGUAGAUAUUAGGAAGAACACCAGUGGCGAAGGCGACUUUCUGGACGAAAACUGACGCUGAGGCGCGAAAGCCAGGGGAGCGAACGGGAUUAGAUACCCGCGUAGUUCCUGUCUCUUAUACA
rnacentral:rRNA from 1 species